rnacentral:lncRNA from 1 species
CUUGAGCUCCUGGAAAUCACCCAUUUAUCUGUUUCUAUGAAUUCAACACUUUGGAGAUUCCACAUAUAGACUUGCUUUCCCUGCUCCUUCAUUCACACAGUGGACCGUGGCUACUCCCAACUCUUUAAUUGAAGAGAAUCUUCUUGCCCUACAUUAUGUCAGUUUCAUGAACUACUGCCAGGAGGCGAAAGUUACAUACACCUGGCUUCCCAGGGAAGAUCUCAAAGUUCCUAGAUGACAAAACUGAGGCCCAGAAGGAGAAAGUGAUUUGCAUGAUGUCACACAACCUAGUAAGCUAUAUGCCAAGACCAGCG